rnacentral:rRNA from 1 species
AGCAAAUAGAUACCCGGGUAGUCCACGCCCUAAACUAUGUCAACUGGUUGUCGGGGGAUUAAUUCCCUUGGUAAACGAAAGCUAAACGCGUGAAAGUUGACCGCCUGGGGAGUACGGCCGCAAGGUUAAAACUCAAAGGAAUUGACGGGGACCCGCACAAGCGGUGGAUUAUGUGGAUUAAUUCGAUGCAAACGCGAAAAACCUUACCUACCCUUGACUUGUAGCGAACCUCGCAGAGAUGUGAGGGUGCCCGAAAGGGAACGCUAACACAGGUGCUGCAUGGCUGUCGUCAGCUCGUGUCGUGAGAUGUUGGGUUAAGUCCCGCAACGAGCGCAACCCUUGUCAUUAGUUGCCACAUUCAGUUGGGCACUCUAAUGAGACUGCCGGUGACAAACCGGAGGAAGGUGGGGAUGACGUCAAGUCCUCAUGGCCCUUAUGGGUAGGGCCUCACACGUAAUACAAUGGCCGGUACAGAGGGCUGCCAACCCGCGAGGGGGAGCUAAUCUCAGAAAGCCGGUCGUAGUCCGGAUUGUUCUCUGCAACUCGAGAACAUGAAGUU